rnacentral:misc_RNA from 1 species
AUGAAAUGCAGUUCUACACGUUCCUGAAUAAACCAACCCAGAAGCAAUUACAAAUUUACAAUUACAAGCAAUAUUCACACACAUAAACCAAAAGAGCAAAAGUUAAACAGUCUUAAAGGACGAACUACCAAACACAACUAAUGCUCCAACAGACCAUGAUAUAUAACUGUAAAAUGAUAACCAGACAAGUUAACCCACAAAAAAAAUUAUUAAAAGAAUUGACUGCAACAUGAAGCCAGCAGCUACCAAAGGGGAAAAGAAUUUUUAAAGGCCCCAUUAUAGAGAGUGGCUUGCAAAGAACAGCGAAAGUUAAAUGCAAGGCCUGCUCAAGAACACUCAUUAUGGUCCCAUAACCUUGAUGCCUUCAUUUACUUCAAUUUCUUCUUCAAAUAUUAAUGAAGUGUUCAAAUCAUCAUAGAAUUUAGGGUACCGUAACUGCAGCCACACCAAUAGCCCCAGCCACAUAACAGAUAUUGCACAAAACCACAAGU